rnacentral:lncRNA from 1 species
ACAAAUUCAGGUAGGAUCAUAUUAGAUCUGUUCCUCGAACUCCUCUGAAAUUCAUUUUCCACUAUUGAUGUCAUCGAUUCAUCCGCUCCAAGCUCAGGUGGUUGAAAAGAUGGACCAUUCAUUGAAGCAAUAUCUUGUUCUGCUGGCCUGGCAGCCGUAGGAGCAACAGAGGAGCUAGAGCCUACUGAAGCAUUGUGAUGCUGGUAAUUUACAGGAAUCUCUUCACAAUUCUUUCUGUUAAGUGAACCUCUGACACCAUCCAUAUAUGCAAUGUUGCUCCCAUAGCUGACUGUAGGAAUACUACUGAUUCUGUGAGUGCUUGCAUGAGACAACUGAUUAUGUGCCCCGUGAUUUACAGGAACAGAAAUAUCACUAAUACCAGAUAGAGGGGCGAUAUGUGGAUAGUACAGAAUAGUUGAUGCAGCAACAGCUACAUUAAGAUUCGAGACUGGAUGCUGGUGUUGAGCACCAUUGUAAUAUGUCAUUGAAUAGAAUAGAGAGCUGCCAUGCGGUUCUGGAGUACGGUAAAGAUUAAAAUUGGAAACGUUUCCAGGAUCAGGGAUCACCGAUUGGACAUGAGGUUGAGGAAAAUUUGGUACACUCCCACAAUAGAUGAAAGGUUCAGGAUGUAAAUGGCUAUGGCCAGUGAACUGUGUGCUGCUCCAGUGUGCCAUGUG